AUUGAACGCUGGCGGCAGGCCUAACACAUGCAAGUCGAGCGAGCGGCGGACGGGUGAGUAAUGUCUGGGAAACUGCCUGAUGGAGGGGGAUAACUACUGGAAAAGGUAGCUAAUACCGCAUACCAUCAGAUGUGCCCCGAUGGGGUUAGCUAGUAGGUGGGGUAAUGGCUCACCUAGGCGACGAUCCCUAGCUGGUCUGAGAGGAUGACCAGCCACACUGGAACUGAGACACGGUCCAGACGCCUACGGGAGUCAGCAGUGGGGAAUAUUGCACAAUGGGCGCAAGCCUGAUGCAGCCAUGCCGCGUGUAUGAAGAAGGCCUUCGGGUUGUAAAGUACUUUCAGCGAGGAGGCGUUACUCGCAGAAGAAGCACCGGCUAACUCCGGGCCAGCCGCCGCGGUAAUAC
rnacentral:rRNA from 1 species